GUAGGUGGCAAGCGUUGUCCGGAAUUAUUGGGCGUAAAGCGCGCGCAGGCGGUUCUUUAAGACUGAUGUGAAAGCCCACGGCUCAACCGUGGAGGGUCAUUGGAAACUGGAGAACUUGAGUACAGAAGAGGAAAGCGGAAUUCCACGUGUAGCGGUGAAAUGCGUAGAGAUGUGGAGGAACACCAGUGGCGAAGGCGGCUUUCUGGUCUGUAACUGACGCUGAGGCGCGAAAGCGUGGGGAGCAAACAGGAUUAGAUACCCUGGUAGUCCACGCCGUAAACGAUGAGUGCUAAGUGUUAGGGGGUUUCCGCCCCCCUUAGUGCUGCAGCUAACGCAUUAAGCACUCCGCCUGGGAGUACGGCCGCAAGGCUG
rnacentral:rRNA from 1 species